UGCGUUGAAGAGUGGGUCUUGCGCAAUUGGGAGUUGUGACCCAUGUCAGGUGGGGAACCAAGCAGCAUUAAGCAAUCAGCCCGAUGUGCCGCGAGGUCGCCUGCUUGGAGCA
rnacentral:SRP_RNA from 1 species